GAGAAUUACUCUCUUGUUUUGUCUAACGGUAGACUGACUUACAGAAAGUUCACCAAAAUAAAUCCUCUUUUGCAAUGUAAAACUCAUUGUUCAGUACAAGUUUUGAUACACAUAAGAAAGAAUAUU
ensembl:snoRNA small nucleolar RNA SNORA40